GUGCUCCCUGCAGCAGCACAUAUGCUAAAAUUGGAAUGACACAGAAAAGGUUAUCAGCAUCCCGGACCAAGGAUGACACACAAAAUCGCAAGGCAUUCUACCAUUUU